AACGCAAAUUGCACUCUCUGGCAACCCGGGGAGUAUGCCUGUUUGAGGGUCAGUGUUAAUAAAAAUCGGUGCGUUGCAAUUUUUUGUGACGUUCCGGAGUUUGAGUUAUCUUAACUUGGUUUUUAAGAGGCUUAAAAUUGAUCUUUUUUGUGCAUUUUUUUUAGACGUACAUAAAUUUUUUUUUAUUCGUCCAUCCUAAUGCCAAAAUCUAUUAGAUGCGACCAUAUCUUGUGGUUCCGUGUUUAUAAAUUUUUCAUGAUUUGACCUCAAAUCAGGUAGGAACACCCGCUGAACUUAA
rnacentral:misc_RNA from 1 species